rnacentral:rRNA from 1 species
GUGUAACAAGGUUUCCGUAGGUGAACCUGCGGAAGGAUCAUU